rnacentral:rRNA from 1 species
GAUGAACGCUGGCGGCGUGCCUAAUACAUGCAAGUCGAGCGAACAGACGAGGAGCUUGCUCCUCUGACGUUAGCGGCGGACGGGUGAGUAACACGUGGAUAACCUACCUAUAAGACUGGGAUAACUUCGGGAAACCGGAGCUAAUACCGGAUAAUAUCUUGAACCGCAUUGUUCAAUAGUGAAAGACGGUUUUGCUGUCACUUAUAGAUGGAUCCGCGCCGCAUUAGCUAGUUGGUAAGGUAACGGCUUACCAAGGCAACGAUGCGUAGCCGACCUGAGAGGGUGAUCGGCCACACUGGAACUGAGACACGGUCCAGACUCCUACGGGAGGCAGCAGUAGGGAAUCUUCCGCAAUGGGCGAAAGCCUGACGGAGCAACGCCGCGUGAGUGAUGAAGGUCUUCGGAUCGUAAAACUCUGUUAUUAGGGAAGAACAAAUGUGUAAGUAACUAUGCACGUCUUGACGGUACCUAAUCAGAAAGCCACGGCUAACUACGUG